rnacentral:sRNA from 1 species
GAGAAAGAGUGAGCCAAGGGAGUCAUUAACUGCAUCAAGGUGCUAUGAAAGCCAGGCCCGAAAGACCACGACUCAGUCUCCUCGUUCUAAUCGUGUUCCCCACCAAGACCCACAACCCCCAACCCACACUCCCGUCACCCUAAUGUGAUGAUCCUUUCUGUAAGGUGACAGAAGGGAGUUUGCAGACAUGGUUCAGUGAAAAUUGAGGAGAUUGCCUUGAAACUGGCCUGCUGGGACAAGAGCAUCAGAGUCCAAAAAAAAAGCUUACGAGAGAAGCAGGGGAGACAGCUUUGAAGCUACUGCCCAGUCAGCCUUUAAAAAGGAACAAAGGAGCACAGGCAGCCUACAGAAGCCGGAAAGGGCAAACGACUGGGUUCUUGAAUCUAGGGCUUGACCUCUAGAACUGUAACGAGAAUUGGGAUGGUGUCCAUGCGGUUUGUACUGACUUGUCACAACAGCCAUAAGAAACCAGUAGUGUGGAGAAUAAAGAGGACAGCUCCCUGGUGCGUUCUCCUUUGUCCAGGAAGAGAGGGGACAGUUUAUCAGGCUACCUCACAGACUGAGCACUGUGACUACAGUCCAAUGGAGUGGCCGUCCACAUUUAGAGGAAAAUGUCAAAUGGCCAAACUGCACGGGUCUGUGACUGAUGAGAGAAGCAGAGAUGUGAAGGGCAUCAAAGAGAAAGAAUAUAACUUCCACUUUUAUGUUAGACCCAGCAGCUGGUAACAGCAACCAUUAGCAAAUCCAACGAGUUUCACCCAACACUUGAGAAUUAAUAGAAGAUGUGCCACCUUCUGUCCAGAGAACUAUGCUUGUCGCUCAGUUGUUCUAGCAGUUCAGUUUGGAGGAGAGGUAGACACACGUGGGUAGAUAACUAGCUGCCAUAAAUGGGUUUUGGUUUUUGGGGGGUUUUGGGAGGGUUCUGUUGGUUUUGGUUUGUUUGUUAAGGCACAGGUAUACUAUGGCAAACUGUAUAAGGGCGAAAGAGUUAAUAGACCAAGAUUUAGAGCCAGGACAGGCAGUUACCUUCCUAAGAAAACCAAGUUCGAAUUGAUUUAAAUGCUCUUUCUCCAUACUAUUAAGACAAUGUCCAUGCACGGCAGCAUUUACUCUACUAGUGUCGCUUGCCUCAUGCCAGGCACACGGUUCCUAUGCCUGUGCUUAGGAAUCAGAAAGCUGCCUCACGAGAGCUUGCAUAAUUACUCAAGAUCACAAAAUUAGUAAGAGGAUUCCCGAUGCUACAACCCAGGAACUACCCAUUCAUACCGUGCAGUCCCGGUUCACUUGCAGGGGGGCUAGAAAACAUGGCUUACACAGCUCAGCACUGUCUGUGUUACAGGGCUGCUGUGCGUGAUCCCAUUCCGCUCCUUACUUGAACCUGAGAGCAAACUUUUAGAGUUGGAAGCUGCAAGUCUUUUAACCACUCGUGAUGAGCAGUGUGUCUCGCCUGUGAGUGAUGUAAGUUAGACAACUGAACUGCAUAACCAUGCUUCCUUCCCUCUUCGUGCCCCUGUCCCAAAGCCCCGAGGAAAUGUGUUCACUUGGCAUUUGUAACUGAGUGGAUUCGUAUGCAUGUCUCUGCGUUG